GUAGCGUUGAAACACCGGUUCCCGUACGAACAUCAAAGUUAAGCAAUGUCGAGACUGGUCAGUAACUAGAUGGGUGACCGCUUGGAAAAACCAAGCGCU